rnacentral:rRNA from 1 species
GACGGAGGGUGCAAGCGUUACUCGGAAUUAUUGGGCGUAAAGCGCGUGCAGGUGGUUUGCUAAGUUCCGUGUGAAAGCCCCGGGCUCAACCCGGGAAUUGCGCGGGAAACUGGCGAACUUGAGUACGAUAGAAGAGGGCGGAAUUCCCGGUGUAGAGGUGAAAUUCGUAGAUAUCGGGAGGAACACCAGAGGCGAAGGCGGCUCUCUAAGUCGAUACUGACACUCAUACGCGAGAGCGUGGGGAUCAAACAGG